rnacentral:lncRNA from 1 species
CGACCACAAUUCUAUUUCAAUCAUGCAGCCAUAGUUGUAUAUUUCCAUCGGCUUAUCUAUUCUUGAAAAUAGGGUGGGAGCAUGAACAAAUAAGAUGAUUAAACCUUUAGAGGUUUAUCAAGACAGUAGAGUUCUAAAACUCCGUUUGGGGUAGAAACAUAUGCUACUUCAUCGAAAACAUUUUCGGAACCAUGGUACAUGGCCAAAAUAAUUAGCAUAAAGAUUGAUAUAAUGUCACAUGACACUCUAUCAUUGAUCUGUUUAAAACACAAUCAUCUUUUCCAUCAAAUCAUCACCUGCCACCUAGAAUUUUGGCACUGCUUCUGACAUUGUUAACUGGUCAACAUUGUUAGUUGACCAAACCAGCAUGCUAUCUUGUCGCAUAAGUUUCCUAGUUUACAACAAUACGUGCCAAACUAGUUUUUUUCAAUAUUUUUUCUUCUGAAACUGACUAGGAAACCCACUUUUUGCUCUGAUAUAAUAAUUUAAGUGAAAAAGUUUACCUUGAUUAUCUUAUAAUCAAUAAUCAAUGCAAUAUAUUAAGAGGACAUUUGGUCAUGUUUAAAAGUAUCAACUCUGCAUGCAACCAAGAGAAGCUAAAAAGCCACUUCUAAGCACAACUAAACAUACUACAAAUCUUGCAUUGAAUAUAUAAUCAAUAUAAACUUCUUGCCCUUGAUAAGGCCCUUCUGCAUUGAAAUGAGAGUCUUCUCAAAUUCAAUUCAUUGUUCUUCAGAUGGCUUAUUUCAGUUCUACGAUCUACAGAAAAUUUUGUAGCGACCAAUUCAAGAGAGCAUUAUCAAUGAUAAUAGUCAGUUGCAAGUGUCAAAUAGGAUAUAUGAUGCAAUCCAAAAUUCAACUUGCUGGGAAAGUGCAUGAACCCUGUACCAGGCUGAAAUGCACCAACAAUCCAAAUGUCAUUCCUGUUAAUUUGAAAUGACAUCAACAUAGCACUGUUUAAACCACCAAGUAUCACUACGAAUCAAUCUAAUAUAAAUUUCCAAAUUAGUUCCUGUAAUAGCAAUAUGCAACACGUAUUGAGCAUCACCAAAUAGAAUUUAAUUAAACCAAGCUGCAACCUACCUUUCCCACCAUUCAACAAAAGAUAACAAAUAGAUGGCAAUUUAUAUUGAAAAUGAGAAAAAUAAAUAAUAAAAUUCAGAAAAGCCAUUCAGAAUUAGAUGGGUGGAAGCUCAAAUUCUAUGGAUACCAUAAUUGUCCAUUAUGCCAUGAUAACAGCAUUGAGAAUGAGGAAUUACUUUUUAAUUAUCGCUGCCCAGCUCACUUUUCAAACCAACAUUCAAAGUAACAAAUAACUGGGACAACCAAUCAUUCAGUAAAAUGUAGUCACAAAAGACAUGGUAUUAAAAGCAAAAAAAAUACUUAUUAGAAAUACGAUUUUGUUUUUUAACAUCGCUUUUUCUUUAAGCAAAAAAAAACAUUUUUUUUUCUAUCAUUGUCAAUCAAACAAAGUUAUUACUUAUUUUUCAAAUAUACUUACUUAUAUAAAAGUAAAUUUACUUUCAAGUCAAAUUUUAAGCUUAGCCAAACAUGUAACUGAACUUAAAACUUGACAGUAGCUAAAAGUUAUUUUUCUCAAAAUAAAGUCUCUAAUUUUAUUUUACUUUCUUAUAUUGAAAGCAGCUAUCAAAUCAAGACAUACUUUUUUCACCUUGAUAAGUUAAUCAAAGGUCAUAAGAUAAUUAAUGUUCUACAUUCUUAAACAAUCAAAUGUAGAGUUUUAAACUUAUUUGAUCAAGAUAGCCUAUUUAUUCAAAGCAAACUUUCUGCUUUGAUUUGAUAUACGGAUGCUCCUUUUGGUUUAUAUCUUAUUAUUUCAGUACUAAAUUAUCAAGAAUCCUGUCAAUGAAAACCAUUCCUUUGUGAACGAUUUUAGGAGCAUUGAAAGUGAUAUGUCAAUUGCAAUGCUAAAUAUGAUUUAUUUAUACAAAUCAUAAUCAAAUUCAUCAAAAAAUUCAACUUAUAUGAAUAGCAUAAACCCUGUGUCCGCACCAACAGAAAUAUGUUAUUCACGUAAACUACAAACAAUCAAAUCUAUUCUAUCGAUCAAUCAUAAAUUUCAAAAUGCGUACCUUUAAUUGCAACAUAGAAUACACUCCGGCACAUCACCAAACAAAAUUUCAAAGAAAUCUAGCCGAUAUCUACACCAUUCAAAAUUGAAUAUUAAAUUGAAACUAAAUAAACAAAUAAAUAAAAUCAAAUAGAUGGGUGAGAGCUCAUAUUCUAUGGGUGUAAAAAUGGUCUGUCAUGCCGUGGCAACAGCAUUCAGUACGAGGAAUUACUUUAUAAUCAUCGCUACCCACCACAAAAUUUU